GCGUGAAGCUGCCGGAGGGGGAGAAGUGAGUCAGAGCGCGUGCACAGGGACUCCUCUCUGAGCUCCGAGGCGCGCGGAGGUGCAGCUCUCUGGAUGAAGAAAGCACGUCUUGAUUAACGCCAGUCCACACAUGCACUCACGCACGCACACACACACACACACACGUAUGCACGCACGCGCACACACACUCACACGGAACAGGCAGCGUACACGCGCGCGAUUCUCUCCUGAUCAAUACGAUCUGGCUACAGGUUUCCUUCCAGAAAUCCAGUCUGACAGUGGUUUGAAGGGGGUCGAAGCAAGGAAAUGGAUUAUUAAUCAUUUUUGGCAAUUCUGACCAAGAAUGUCGCACAAGACUUAGGUUUUUAUGAUGGAAUCACACCAUAGCAAGCCAUUAAUCUGCAUUCUUUGCCAUUGUGGUAGUCUUUUUGGGCGGCAGAAGUAUAGCGACGCUUUCAACACUCGUGAGGUCAAGGAGGAGAAAGAAAGAUUGAGAGAGGGAAAGAGAAAAAAACUCAGGGCUGAAGCACGCCUGCACUGUGAAAACCAACACAGCUCGGCUUUUAACCAGAACCACAUGCAAGGCACACCGUGGCCAAACCAAAUGAAUGAACGUUUGUUCUGAACAAAACCAAGAUGUGUAACAGCAAGCUGAUAUUUGCUAGCAAAUGGCGCUACCAAUUUUUUUUUUUGAUAUAAAGUGCAUUUACUCAUGAAAGCUCUGCAGGUUGUAAUGGAAUCUCAGAAUUACUAUUCCUGAGUCUUUAAAGAAGAAGUUUUCUUGCUCUCAUGACUGUUUCCACUAGGGACUUUAUCAAAUAGAAAUAGAAAAGGUAGGCAGGGCAAAACGCUUUUUCCUCAAACAGGCAUGUAGUGUUUUAUCCCACUAAACAGAUUUAUGGAUUCAAAGACUAAGGGUGAAACAAUACAGACUAGAUGUCCAGGCACAUUUCAAAGACUCUGAGGAAACUUUGUAUACAAAGCUCAAUGUUUUUAUGAUAAAGUAAAAUGGCUUUGCAUCUCUCCAAUGUGUACAAAUGAUCAAGAAAUAUAGAGAGUUUUCUUUUCCCUCUUUGGUUUAAAACAGGUGAGACAGGUUAAGACAUGAGUCAUAGCAUUACAGUAUUCCCAGCCUUUAACAUGUUUAGACCUUGUCCACAUUAGUAAAAUUUGAUUUUCAUUAUUAUUAUUAUUAUUAUUAUUAUUAUUAUUAUUAUUAUUAUUAUGUCCAGGAUGAUGGUCUCGUUGAGCUUGAUGAUAUUAACACCAAAUGGGCAUGCUUAAGCAAGUUCACAAGAAAAACACGCACAGACAUAAGUGCACAUAUGUACAUACUCUAGCAGUAUAAAUGCUGUGACAUUAGCAAUAAAGGAAUCCACUGAAGUAUGAAAUGGGAGAUCCUAACGAGUGUUUAAGAUGCACAAAAUGGAAUGUCUGUUUUCCUAGAAUAACUUGAUGUCAGUCAUGAGCCCACAGGUGUGGUGACAGCACUAUGUACAGCCAGGAAAGGCUCUGCUCCAUAGAGCAAAAACUCCUUGGCACUGAGCGAUGGUCUUUCCUGGCAUGCGCGGCAGGUAAGAAGCAGCUAAUUUGCUUUCCAGAAGCCACCAUGAGAUCCAUCUUUACAAAUGGAAGAGCUGCAGAUGAACUGGGAUCAAAUGACACCAAUUAAACCAUUAGUUAUGUUGUAGUAGUUAUCAUUGGCGGUACUGGGAUUUAAACAGAUUACUUUAGAAGAGCACAAAAAAGACGCAAAGCAAAUUACUAUUGGAUUAGUCCUGCAAAUCUCUUUUUCAAAACACAUUACGUAUGCACGAUAUAUACAUAUUUCCUCUUUAUCCACAAUGUAUUUUGAAUGUUCAUGCUUUCUUAUGCUAAACAAUAAACUAUGGAAGUAAUUAUGUGUUCUGCUGUUCUGAAGCUAAAUGCCUAGGAGGGUUUACACAUGGGUUCGAAAUUACACACUUGGCUACUUACUGCCUACUUACACAGCAAUUACACCCCACCCUUCAAUUUAAUGAUGCUAUAUUAAGCAUUUUUUUGUUGUGUUCUAAUAGCAAAACAUGAUGAAAUAUUAAGCUAAUCAAGUAAGGGAGGUAUGGAAAGGAAAUGUCGCACCAAAGUGACGAAAUGAAAUUGCAUGAAAUGCUAUAUUUAAGGCUGAGGCAUAGACCAAUUGUAAUCAUGUUGAGGUUAGAGUAGGUCAUGUUAUUGUGUCAUUUGCAAAUGUAUUCUACACAUUUUCUCCUUUAUACCUAUUGUCUCGGCUAUGUUUGCUGUGCAGUUUUCAGUCUGUCAUGUGAUGUGUGCAAAUACUUGGUAUUUGUUGCUAAUGUGUCAUGUAUGCAAAGACAACGAAGAAUACUUGGUCUAGCUCUGCAGUGUUCUCAGGAGUCUUUUUGGAAGUAAAAUGUGAAUGUACUCAAAUGAACAUAAUAAAUUAACUAAACUUAUUUAUAUGAAUGAUUAAUAAUGCAUUUAUAUUGUUUAUAAAUAACAAUAUAAUUCAUUUUGAGUUUCCCUGUGAUUCCAUGUAUUUUUAUUAAAAAAUUUUUUAUAAAAAAACAAUGUAAUUCACGUCAGUUUACCUACAGUUUCUGAAAUAAUGAUGUGAUGUGAAACUUGAAUUAAUACAUUAUUAUUUGUCCAUUAAACCUUUUAAUGCUUAAA